rnacentral:rRNA from 1 species
UACGUAGGGGGCGAGCGUUGUCCGGAAUUACUGGGCGUAAAGGGUGCGUAGGCGGCCCUUUAAGUCGGAUGUGAAAGCCCGCGGCUUAACCGCGGAAUGGCAUUCGAAACUGGAGGGCUUGAGUGUCGGAGAGGGUAGUGGAAUUCCCAGUGUAGCGGUGAAAUGCGUAGAUAUUGGGAGGAACACCAGUGGCGAAGGCGACUACCUGGACGAUAACUGACGCUGAGGCACGAAAGCUAGGGGAGCAAACAGGAUUAGAUACC